GCUUGUUCCUAGUCCUCUCAGGGGGACUAAUUUGUUCCCAAACUGAACUGGCAGGAGACUUGUCCACUAACCACACAGACUUCGUAAGAUCCAUUCAGAUCUCAGGACAGAGAGAGGAGGCUGGACUGCCUCUGUGGAAGCCAAGUGUCUCAGCACUGCUCCAUUGGUUAUCUGGUCUCCUAUGGGUAGCAUGGCUCCAUGAAGUCUCCAGUGUUAUUAUACCAGGAACCUCCACCCUCCCCCCAUUUGGGACUAUGGGCUUUGCAGACGUGAUCUAAUUUGAUCAGAGGUAGUACCUCUUUGAUGGAUUUCUGCUUGGAAGUUCAUGUAGUGGAGCCAACCAUACUGUUUCUUUGUCUUCUUUCUUCCGCCAGCCCAUCCACCUAAAGCUGCAAAGCCCAUACACCAGAAAGGGACUUUCAACUUGGCUGGGGUUGAGAGAAGGAUUUGGGAUGGGGAAAAGGGGCUUUUCAGUCUCAUUGUACACCCUCCACUUCAGAGGUUAGCUUGCAGUCCACUCUUCACUCUUUUCUGAAGUUACAGCCAGCUAAAUAUGUUAGCAAGUGAGAAAAGCAGUGAAGUAUGUUUGCACAGGUUUAUUUAACAUUGCUAUUGAAAAACCUUGGAUGUUAGUUCUGUUUUCACUGCAAUAAUUACAAAUGUGAUAUUUUUAAAAAAUUACAAUUUUCCAUAAUUUUUUGUAAAUGUUUGAGCCUAAUUCUUGAUGCCCAUGGUUAAACUCUAUAUCUUUGUUGUGUGAAUUCAUCAAUAUAAGAUUUUGAAUGUAUAAUUUAAUCUCUUUGGUUGUUAUAUAUUUGGAGGAGAUUAACUUCUUAUUUGUCUAAUUUUUCUCUGCAUGAUAUUUCAGAACAAAGAGGGGGAGAAAUGAAUUUUGAAUUUAAUUUUCUAUAUUAAAAUGUAAGAAACCUUGAAAGAUGUGUUACAUUACCUGGCCCUUGAUUAGUACAGUACUGCUCCACAGUAAGGUUAUUAAAUAUGAGUGGUGAUGACAAUAGCAGAUUUACGGACAUUAAAGCCCAUAUAAGCUUUCUCCAAAAGGUUACAUAAAAACUAAUCUAAAAAUUCUAAUCUUAACAGUAUUAAAAAUUACUAUUAUUGCUCCUAUAUCCCAUAGCCUCUGAAUUUCUUUUAUUUGAUUAAUGUCCGUCCUAUGUGAGUGCCUGUGUGUAUACAUAUAUGAAUUCCCUUUAACAUACAUUGAUAUAUAUAUAUACAUGAAAAUAUUGAUUCUACUUAGUUCCACCAAGUGGAUAUUGUUUUAGGGCCUUGGACUUUCAUUAUGUGAAGAGGAAAGACAGGUACUGCUUUUGUACACUGUAUUGACUUGUGUGCGCCUUGCUAUUUCCAUCAGUGUGACAUUCUGUAAAACCCAGUAGUUGUACUCAAGCUUACCAUCCAGUUCUCAGGUGAGCAGAUGGAGGGUGGGGCGGGGGGGGGAAUAUUAAGCUUGCAAUUUGGGUAAUAAUAGAAACACUGGCAUUUUAAAGCUCAUGCAGCUGUCACUUAAACCUCUUUAUUGUCAAAUUCAUUUGUCUCACCCCUGCAUCUAUGUAGAACAGCACAAUAUUCUCUGCAGGACAAUGUUAAAAGCUAGAUUCUGAUACAGAUUUACUUUGCAAAACCACAUACAGCGGUAAUACUGGUUGAUUUCAGGUCAUCAUGCUUGUGUCACAAGUGAUUCCCCAGGAUGCUGCAUCGGAGCCCUCAUUACCAAUAGAAAGAAUGCCUGCAGGAACCUCAGGCUUUUCUGUGAGCAGGACAACAAGCUUCUGUAACGUAUUAAGAGUCAAAUUCACCACUGACACAUUUGGUUACAGCUUUUUGGAGUCAGAGUUUGGGGUGGAUUUUAUUUGUGGAAGGAUCAUAUAUAGCCUUUCAUUUUUUCUUGAAUUAUAAACUCUAAACUGGUACUCCCUCAGUCCAACCCUGAAUCUGGCAUUCCUUCUCCCAAUUCCUCAUCUGGGAGCAAAUUCAUUUCCUCAGUUAUCUCUUCCCUCUAUAAAUGAAGAGCAAUUGCUCCUGCUCUUAACUAUUAUUGACUGUUGGGCACACUGUAGCUACAGCAUAUAAAAGAGCAUCCACAGAGGCUGAAUGUAAGUGGGCUAGACCAUGGAACACAUUAGGACCAGAUUUUCAGAAGAGGUAAGAACCCUUCAGUUUCCAUCUGGCCACUUCAGUUUAGGACCUAACUGGGAGCUGAGUGCUUUUGAAAAUCUGACCCUUAAAGUCAAUCAGACUAAAUUUUGCAUUUUGUUUGGGGGUUGUUGUUUUUUUUGUUUUUGUUUUUUUGAAAGUUUUAGUUUGCACUGUCAGGUAAGAGCCAACCUGGAAGAAUUAAAAAGAAAAUGUCUCCACCACGGAUUGUUCACCUUUCUCUUCUCUAGAAAGCAUGGUGUGAGAUUCAGAAAUUUCUGCACUAGUAAAAUGCUAAGAAAAUUGGUAAUGUGGAUUCAGAAUGAACCUCAAAAUUCCAGUUCU